rnacentral:rRNA from 1 species
UACGUAGGGGCCUAGCGUUGUCCGGAAUUAUUGGGCGUAAAGAGCUCGUAGGCGGUUCGGCAAGUCGGAUGUGAAAUCUCCACGCUUAACGUGGAGGGGCCAUUCGAAACUGCUGUGACUCGAGUCCGGUAGGGGAGUGUGGAAUUCCCGGUGUAGCGGUGAAAUGCGUAGAUAUCAGGAGGAAUACCGAUGGCGAAGGCAGGUCUCUGGGCUGACACUGACGCUCAUGCACGAAAGCGUGGGGAGCAAACAGG